CCACUUCUUCGUCACCUUUCUGCACCGCCUCAUCAUCUCCGACUCCGGUUCUUCUUUUCCUUUCUCCUCGCUUUUUCCGCCUCACCAUUUUGGCUUCUGAUGUGAGGAAGUAGCCGACGAAUUUGGGCUAGGAUCUGGAGACGACGAAACCAGGAAAUACUAAGGUAAAUUAAUUCAAAUUGGUUAUUAUUGUGUGAGAGAUCAAGAUUGAUAGAUGGAGUGAUGUCCGAGGGAAUUCUUAUCUCAUCAUCUCAGCAAUAUUGCUCUUCAACACGAGACUAAUUGGAGAUGGACAAUGAGAAGAAAGUAGGAGACAUAUCUGGCUUUUUCUUUUCCUUUUGAACUAUUUCUUAUUCAUGUUAGUCUUAGGGUUAUGUGAAUUUCUGGGUGUUCUUGAUGGAAUCGGUUCGCUCCCGGCGAUCAGGCAUGCCACAAUGGAUCGCUGGGAAUCGUUUUGAUCUGAUGAAGCAUAACGUGAAUUUGAGUAUUUGAUUUUUCUUUUCGUUUUUGUUUUUCAAAUUUUCUCAUCCAUUUAUUUUUUGGUUUGAUUCACUUCUGCAUGUACCUGGUAAGAGGGGAAGAGUACCGGUGUCUUCUUUUGAGUUUUGGAUGGUAGGAUUUUGAACAUAACAAAAGGAUUAAAGGAGUCUGGGUUUUUCAUCCGAGGUGUUCUAGGUUCAUUCUAUUAUCACAAGUUUUGUGUUCGUCGGAUUGCUUCGGUGUUGGUUUGCAUGUUGACGGUUCCGUCGGUAGCAUCUGCUGUGGACUCUAUUUUGCCUGGAUUGCGAUCUUUGUUCCUCACAAAAAAAAAGAUCUCAACUUCGCUAUUCUGGAGAUGUAUUCUUUUGCAUUGGUUGAUGGAAAGCCAUAUCCUUUGGAUAUGAGAGGUGGGAUAAUAUUAAAUUUCCAAUGCCGAAAGAGUUAUGAGUCCAAUGCAGAAGCUUAUUCAUGGACUAGAUGAG